rnacentral:misc_RNA from 1 species
UGAAAUGUCUUGUACGACCAUUUCAAAUUUAUGUAAAUUGAACGCAGCAACAACAGGGGGGGGGCGGAGACGCCCCCCCCCUUUUAAAAAUAAAAAUGAUCAAAUCAAGUACGAUCUUGGUUUGAUCAAAUCAAAAACCCCUGUUAUAAAAGGGUUUUUGAAAAGAAUGGACGAUAUACAACGUCCAAACUUAGGUACAACUGCAUUAGAUCCUUUAUUUGGAUGGUUCAGAUUGCCUCGUAAUGUCCAUUGUAGGAUGAACAAAAACAAAUUUAUUGAUAAUUUUGAUAAUUUAUUUGAACAUUAUAAAGGUAAACAAUUUCAUAAUUGCAAAGAGAUCAGUAUAGUAUGUGUAGAAGCUAUGAGGGGAGAGUUACAAUUGAAAGAGCGACAUUAUGGCAUUGCUCAAUCUUUUUCUCCAGAUGAUGAACGAUUGAGCAAAUUUAGCGUUAAGAAUAUGUCAUUUGGCUUGGUGACUAGAUUAUUAUAUUUGAUUUAUGUAAAAGGAGCUGAAAUUUACUUAAAUCCCACAGUUAAUGUGGAUGAUGUGCUUAAAAACAUGAGCCACUUAAUUAAAAAGAAACCUGAAAUAAUUGAAGAAGAUUUUGAAGAAGAAGAAGAUUUUGAGGAAAUGGAUCUAGACGACAUGGGAUUUAUAGAUGAUAAAAUAGAAGAAAAAGGAGAGUAUUUCCAAAUAGUGCCAUUCGGUAAAGGAAACUGCACGGAAAAAUUCUUAAAAACUUUAAAGUUUCACAUGAAAAUAUUUAAAGGAUUAUUUAAUUAUAUGUACCAUCAUAUCACCAAUUUCAAGGAAGUAAAUGAUGGAUUUGUAGAAAUUAAAGGAACUAGAGAUGAAGAUGAUAAUUCUAUGAAUUAUGAAUCUUCAUCCGGCAAAUUGCCUCCCAUUAAGUUUUGUCCAUUAUGUUCAUGCCCCAAUGCAUAUACUCAAAUUCCUAGAAGAAUGAAAACUUGUCAUUACAGUGUUAAACGAUAUUACCCAAAUAAUAAAACUAUUGAUGAUAAAUUCGAAACAAAAGUUAAAGAUGGGGAAAUAAUGAAAGAAAUUCCCUGGAGAUGUGGUGUAUGUUACACAGAUUUAAACUUGGAAAUUGAAGAGUUCAGACAGGCUAACAUUAUUAUAGAUGUGAUAAUAACAGAGAGCUUGUAUGUUUUGAUGGGUGAUCUGGAAAAUUUAAUGAAAUUGGGGUAUACUGAUACUUAUGAUGAUUUAAAGAACACAGAUAAGGAAAACAUCAGGCAACACGACAAAAUAUUGGUGAACGAAUACUUCUUCCAUUUACAAAAAAGAAUAGUAACAGUAGGACAAGAUUUAGAUCCUAUAAUAAAUGAUAACGUUAAGAAAGUCAUUAAGGGUGUAAAUUUUAGACAUGACAGCAAGUUUAAUAGUGUUAAACCAGAAUUUGUCUGUGAAAUGUCAGUUUGCAGAGAGGAAAUAAAAUCACAUUUAAGAUCCGAUGCUAUUGCCUGUAUAGGAGAUUUGCUACCAAGAACUGAUGAUAACAAAUUCCAUCAAUGGAAAUAUAAUGAUUGGUUAUUCGAACCUAACAACUUCGAUGGAUGCUGUAAUAACAAUUGUUGUGAUCAUAAUGAAAAAUUCACAUGCUUCUUGGGUAUGGGAGCAUUGGCUCUGAGUUUAUCCCAAAUAUUAGGAAUUGUUAAUAAACAACGUCAAUUGUACGCAAUCAUUCCUAGGGUUAAAGACAAUAAGCGUUUAAGGGAUAAUACUGGUACAAUAAUCUCUGAGGGGGAUGAUACCAUGAUAUUCUUGGAUGGAUGCACUAACCCGUUACUGGUCAAAACUGACACAUUAGAAACACUUAGUAACUUUAAUACUAUUGUGAACAACGGAGAAUACUACGUCAUCAAUAAGGUAUUUGAUUUGGAAUUAUGUAGCACCGUUUGCAUACUGGGCCCUUACACUGAUGCUAAUUCAUUGCCUGAUGACAAAAUUGUCAAAGAUGACAACAUCACUACUAUAUCUUUACCUGAUUUAGACUCAAUCAUGGGAAGAAUUAUUGGUUUAAAUUUCAGGCCUAGCUCAUUCACAUUACAUACAUCUCUGUUUAAGUAUUUAUGCCUCCGGAAUUUAUCCGGAAAAGUGUCUCACAAUACAUUGAGACAAUACGCUGUUGGAUUUGCACUUAGAAGGUUUGUUGUUCACAAUAAAGUGGUUUCAAAUCCAAGUGUGAUGUAUGAAAUGAUAGAUAUUCAUGUCAUGUUAUCACGUAUUUGUAUGAUGCAAUUAAAAAUGGAAUAUGAUCUUAGUUUGAACUAUAGUGAAAAAACAAAGUAUUUAGGACCUCUAAGGUGGAUGCCAAAGGAAUUGGAAGGUUUAACAACUAGAUACGUGAUAAAUGCUCUCAUAGAAUAUAUAACUGAUAGAUUCAGCAUUACUGAAAUAGACAUCAUGAGAGUUUUAGAAAGCACACACCUUUCAGCUUUCAUAACAAAAUUACAUGACAAUCAUUUAUGGUCGGCUUUGCUAAAAUUAAGCAAAGGUAUUACUACAGAAAGGCUUACUGUUAGAAAUUUGGGAGACAGUCACUGUGAGAUAAUAUCCAAUAACAUUGAAAGAUGCUUCCAUCAUAAUCAAAAUUGUGUGCAUGGUUUGCUUUUAACAGAACAUAUAUGUAAAUGUUGUGGUAUAUCGAUAGAAUUUGGAUUAUUAUGCAAAUGUUGUAAGGGGACGACCCCAAUAACAGCUUUUCAAAUUGAUGAGCAAAUUAGAAAAGAAGUGGAUGACGAGGGUGAAAAUUAUAAUUAUAGAUUUAAAGAAUUAGAGUCUAAACGGCACACAAUCAAAUCUAAAAUAAGCCAUAACGAGAUGAAAUGGCCUCCUAUAAAACCCAAGCCCAGAACUGUAAAAUAUCAACAGAUUACAGUAGCAAGACCUGUCAAACAAGAUGUCACCGAAAUGCCUACCAACAAAGCCUUACCAACCAAAACAAUAGAUGAAGUUAUAGCGAAAAGAGGCAAACAUGUUGUGUCAGUAAGUAAUUUAGAUGAGUUCAAAUUGUUACUAGACGAAGACAUGAAGAAGAUCCAAAUUAUUGACGACGUCGAUAGUGGUGCUAACAAAGAGGAAGCAUUAAUAGUACACACAAUAGAUAAUAUUAAGGACACAAAAAUUAUAAAAUUAACGGAUGAAAGCCAAGUGACUUCAAAGCAAUCAGACAGGCUUCAAACUGAUAUAGCUGAAACACCUCCAACAGAAGGUGACAAUUCUCCUGAUCUAUCCGGAGAAAGCUGGAGACAGAUGUUUUCUAAAUUUGCGUCAAAAAUAGUUCCAAGUGUGCGUAAGAGAAUCACUAAAUUAUCAAAUGAGGCACAUGAUUUGUUAUCUGCUGAUAAUAAAGAAAAAGUUCUAACCAGAUUGAAAUAUGAUUUUUAUUCUCACGUAACUGAUCCUGUGGAAUUUGAAUCCAGAUUAAAUGGUGAGCACUCAACAAUGUAUAUCAUGCCGCACAUACCAGUUGGAUUCGUGGCUUGGCAACAAGAUGAAUUUGAAGUGAUAGAGAAAAUUUCAUUAUCUAAUUCGAGCUUUAAUUCUUGCGGAUAUGAAGCGUUCAAUUAUGCUCUUGAUAAACCUAUACCCUGGACUGACUUUGUUUCAAUAACUGGUACAGACAAAAAUUGGUCCGAUUUGGCCUUAAUGGACUUAGCUUCUGAUCUAGGAAUUAAUAUAAUCAUGGUAGAACCAAGAGGAGUAUUCGUUGGGAAAUACAACCCCGAAUGUGAUGAAUUCAUGUGCAUUCACUACGAUUUACCUUUACCAGAUGAAAAUGAAAAGUUAAUUGACACGGUACAAAACAGAAUAGGUCACUUUUCCCCAUGUGUAAUUCGCAGAAUUAGAAGAGGAGGAACUUAUUACGUACAUGAUCUAAACCAAAGCAUCACAGACAGGAAUAAAAUUAUACAAUCGAGACUUGGACCUCAUAAUCAUUGUAAUAGAGCCCCUGAUAUUACUGGUGAUGAAAAUAUAUUAUGUGAAUUGAUAUUCAAUUUACAUAUAUCUGAAGAUUUGUCAGACAGUAUAUCAAAAUUUCCUACAGUAUUUGAAAUAGACGGAAAAAUGUGCAUAAGUAAUAAUCCUGACACAAAAUUAUUAAAAUGGGAGACCAAUCUCAUACAUAUAGAAAUACCAAAGGAAUACAGUACUUUAGUAGAUAAAAUAGCGUCAGCAUUGGAAGGUUCUUUAAAAAUAUCAGAAUUACCUGAAAUGAGACACACAAGCUCCGAAUUACCCAAUGAGCUAGAAAGUGAAAUAACAGAAGAAAUAAUAGAGGUUUUGAGAAUCUUUUCUAGAAUAAAUUCUAUGUUCAAUGAUAAAUUGGAUGCUAAAUUAAUCAAGGACACAAAAGAAUGUCGCGUGAUUCCUUGGUAUGGUAGGAGCAAAAUAAUGUUCGACAAAAAAUUCAAUCACAAGUUGAAGAAAUUCGACACCUUGUGCUUAAAACAAGGAAAACAAUUAUAUAAGUGUGAAGUCACCAAUUUCAGUGAAGGUGAUCCUGUUAUCAAUCUGGAGCUUUACAGUGAGCAAAGAUUCAAGGUAAUAAUACUUAAAGAGUCAUCUGGUAGUGCAAUUAAAUCAUUAGUCAGCCUAAUGACCGAACAUAUUACUAUGUCAGAAUUCAAAGAAGUGCUAAAAAGAUCUAAUUUGACGUUGGGGCCAGCGGGAUAUGGCAAAUCAACAAUGAUAUCUAAAGCUAUAACACACGGUGAUUUAUGUGUUGCAAUGACCAGAUCAUCUGUAAUGAGCAUAGAAGAGAAGACAAAGGAUAAACACAUCACUGUUUGCUCCUUGGAGAAAGCCUCAUCAAGCAUGAUGAAAUGUCCAAACACCAUAUUUGUAGAUGAGGCGACUAUGAUCGAUUGGUUGAAGUUAGCGUUGUUAUGUGAACCCACAACCACUUUAAGAAUGUAUGGCAGUGAGAGCCAAGUAGGAGCAGUAGACAUGAGUCCAACACCUGGUUUAAGACAUAUUACAAGAAUACAAGAUUUAUUGUUAGAAAAUCAGAUAAGUAGAUUUUACUCAACUUACAGAAUCGGUGAAAGCCUUGCCACUUUUAUAAGACCGAUAGAACCCAAACUCGUAUCAUUGGCUGAUCACAAAACAACGUACAACGUGACUGUGUUAGAGGAUGCAGAAUUCGAAAAAUUGCCGGUCAUUGUGCAUCGAUGCAAACCUGAUGUAAUUAUAACACCAUACAAUUAUAAUAGACAGAGAAUUGAGAAUAUGACGGAUGUCACAAUACCUGUUGUGACUACGCAUAGUUAUCAAGGACAAGAAGUUAACAAAUCUUUAGUGAUACUCAGAGCAGAUAGAACCGGCAAGUGGGAUUUGAACGGAAAUGCUUUGUAUUUAAAUUCAGCGUUAACUAGAGCCAAGCACCAUUGUGAGAUAAUAGUAUACGGUUACCCAAUAUCCAACAUACAAACAGUAAGCGAUCUAUGUCAGUAUAUGGGUGGAGCCCCGCAUGAAAACAGUCUGGAAGAAAACACAGAUAUUGUCAAAGAUAACCCAGAAGAUGACAUGGUGAACGAUGAAUUACCCACUGUUUUAACCAUACGAACGAUGCACACUCUAAGAAAACAAGACAUUGAUAAAUUAAAUGAACUCAGUAUUGUUCAGCAAGGGCAUUCAGUAAGUUAUUUUUACAUUCAUAAAAAUCACAUAAGCUGCAAUUUGAAAUUCAUGGGUAAAAGUGUGGCAGAAAUAAUAAACAUUAAUGGAAAUGUAACCGUAAAUGGAAAUUGGUAUUAUAAACGCAAAAUUUUAGAUAAAUUGGAUGAAAAAUUGGACUUGAAUGAUGUGAAAGGUAUAACUAUAUGUCCAAGAGGGACAAAAUUAGUGAGAAUAAAAACCAAUCAAAAAUUUAGAAAUAAGGUAAGGGAAUUAGCCUGGAUAGUGGACAAAUGCUAUGAUGGUAAAUUCACUAUCAAAAUAAAUAAUAUCAUUAUAACUAUAACAAAGAACGCAGGUUGUCCUUUAUUUAGUGGAUUAAAAUUCAGGACAAAGAACGAAUACUUCGAGAUCUGCAAACUGAAAUAUUUUAGUUUGAGAAGAGAAUUAAUAAUACAUAAGUCGAAUAAUUAUAGAGAAUUGAGUUGUAUUUUAAAAUGGUUGGACAUAGAUUACAAUUCUAUUAAUUAUGAUGAUGAGGUGGAUAUUGGUUGGCUGAAAACCAUGACUGGACAUAAUAUAAGCUCAUGGAGACAAUAUAAGGAAAGAUUAUCUAGUGUCAGUUUAUGGUUUAUUAACGCUUGUUUUGACAGUACAUCAAGAAAAUGUAAAGAGUUAAGUGACCGUAAUACUGCCAUAUAUAAUAGAUACAUGUUAACAGAAAAUAGGGAGUUGAUAAAGUUCCAUCAGUCUCCGAUUCGACAUGACAAAUUGAUAUACAAAACCACUGAAAGGAGAGCUUUGAAUUUAUGGAGAACUGAAAACGUUUAUGAGUUGUUUAACAAAGAUGAUUUAAUAUUAACAGUGAAGGAAGGAUCUGAUGAAACGCUCUGGAGACAAUUUGUAAGAGAAUGUUUACUAGAUAUGGAUAGAAGCGAUUUGAUCAAAGGAACAAGCGGGUUGGCACUGGACAUACCAGGUUUGUAUUUACCUCUGGAAAAACAUUAUCAAUUAGGGACGGAGAUAAAACAGAUUAUUGGCACCAAUAUAAAUAAAUUACUAUUAUUGACUAGUCCAGGCAUUCACGAUAGUAUCAGAUUAAAUAUUAACGACAAUGAUGAAUUCAGAACAGCUAUACUAGCUAGGUAUCCAAAACUCACAAUUCAAAUAGGAAAUUAUAAUCUACUCAAUUCUGGAAUGAUAGGUGUACUGGAACAAAUAAUGUUGAAUACAUAUGCGAAGACAAGCAAACAUAACCCUCAAAUAGUUGUUUAUGGUGGAAUGAGCCCUAGCAGUGUUGCUGUACAAGGAAAAUAUUAUGUAUCAUUAGAUAUACCAGAUGAAAGAUCCCCAAUUAAAAGAUUUUAUGAUCGAGAAAUGCCAAUUGUUAAUGCAUUAGUUCAUAGAUUUAAUGAAGGUAGAGAUGAUCAACACAAGGUCAGCUUAAAUUAUGAUGGGUUAUUCUCCCGUAGGUAUUUAUUGGGAGUGAGUCUAAAUCACGUAACAGAGGAUUAUAUUCAACAAAAACUAAAUAAUUGUGAUUAUUUAUAUGGGUGGUCCUAUAGGGUUGACAAUCAAUCCAAGUGGUAUUCCAUUAGCAACAGAGGAGAUAAAAUUUAUUAUCAUGGGGAGGAAUACUCCAAUCAAAUAAGAAAUCAACUAGCUAUUAAAAUUCAAAACGGUAAUCCAUUGUGGGUGGAUUACGACAAAUGUGAGUACGUUGAAACCACAAUCGUUAAUGAAUUAUUUGGAAUGUAUCUUGUCAAAUUUACAAAACGAAAAUUCCCAAAUAGUAACAAAGUUACUAGAGUAACAUUCACAGAACAGGGUUAUAACAGUACGACCGACGUAGAAGUGCCGUGGAUCAAUACACAAAUUAUGGACAUAAUGAGAACCAGAACAUUUAUAACCACUAAGAAAUUAACAAUAAACAAUAACUUAUUAAGGAAUCUAUUAUUACGGUUAAUGACAGGGGAUGAUUCAGAAGAUAGCUUAUUAGCAUAUGCUAGGACAGUGCAAUCUACACAAGUGAUCACUGAUAAAGGCAUUCAGGAUUUAUCAACAGUUGAUUUACAUGUUACAAUGAGUACUACAUGGUUUGCUUUGUAUGUACACCAUAAUUAUUUAUAUAAAUUUGAACACAUAAUUUCAUUAAUUAAUUUGGGAGAAGAUAGAGAAGUUUUAUUCACCUUAUUACAACAAUUUGUUCCAGGCAUCCUGAAGUGGGUGGGGAUAGUAGCAGAAAAUAUAACUGAUUAUAUGGAAGUAUGCAUGAAGUAUUUACAAUUUGAUAGGAGUUUCCUUACUAAUUUGAAAAAUGUUACGGAAAAGAUUAAAAAUACUAACUGGGCUAUACAAGAAAACAAAGGGAAAGUUUGGAAUUUUUCUUUUAAACACCCAGACGACAAUAACAUGCCUAUGUUGGAUAAUGACAUACUCCCAGAUAAAGAUAUAGACAGAUACAAAAACUCUAUUAGAGAGGAAGAUUCUACUUGUGAUCAAGGACCCGUCACAACUCAUGAAGAGUCUGAUUUAGAGAAUACUCAGGAAAAAUCAGAAACUGACAAGGAACUAGGAGACAAUUCGGAAGCCUUAGGUCUUGACGAUGAGGUUGAUGGGGACAAUCAACAAUCAUCGAGUGAAAAUGUUGUUUAUAACGUUGAAAAAGAUAUGACCAAAGAAACAGAUGCCACAGAGAAGCCGGCCUCUAAUGAUGAUCACAAAUCCGUACCGACCUCUGAUACGGAGAUCAAAUUACCAUCCGAUGAUGGCACACAAAUUUCAUUUACAGAACUAACUAAGCCUAUCACAACUUUACCCACUCCUAUAUGUGUUCAAGGGGCAUUUGGAGAAGUUCCUUUAAUAAUUUGGAGUUAUUGGCAAGGAUCUGAGAUAAGUCCGUUUUUACUCAAUUGUAUUAGAUCUUGGCAAAAGUAUAACCCUGAAGUUAGAAUAGUGAUACUGACUGACAAUAACUUAGGGAACAUACAUAGUAUAUUUGACUCUAGUGAUACUAAACAAAUGUCUCCACAAGCCAAAUCUGACUGGUUAAGAUGUUAUUGUUUAUCUAAUUAUGGAGGAAUUUGGUUGAAUUUGAGUAGUAUUUGUGCUGAAUCUCUGAUGCCGUUAAUUAAAGCGGCAGUAAACCAUGAGAGUGGUUUGUUCCAGUUAGGAAUGCCAGGUGGAGUUGACAAAAUGAAAUAUGAAAUGGGUGUGAUGAUUUGCACCACUAGAAAUAAAAUAUUACAUGAAUGGUUCAGAUUAACUAAUGAGUUCGUUAUUUUAUCUGGAGGAGACACAACAAUUAUGUUAGAUCUGAUAAAAGACAGAUUCAAAACCAAUGCUCAUACUGCCAUAUUGGCAGUGGGGGAUUAUGGUAAAUUUUACUUAUGGGUUUACGUUUUACAAAGAAUAGUUUUAGACUUCCUUAAAAUUGAACCCUGUCAUAUUAAUGUUGAAAAUCAAAAAUGUCUACUAUAUAUGGGGAAAUAUGCGAUAGAUUCUGCUCGAACGUGGCACAUUUUAUCCACACGUUCUUGGCAAGAUCUUCAAAUAACAGUCCCUGUUAUAAAUCUAAUAAGUGCAAUGCGGAAAAAUGUGAUUGAUAAUUACAGUAAUAAAUUCGAGAAAGGUAGCGUGAUGGAGAUGCUAGAUACAUGUGAACCACUAAAAUAUAACCCAUUAUCCUUGGCAAAUUUAACACCUAAGGAAUUAAAGAGAAUAGAUUUAGAGGAGACAGACAAUAGACAAAAGAAAAACAAAAUUGAUUAUAUUUUAAUAUCAUAUGGAAGUUUUGGUGAUUUUGUACCAAUAUUAAACAUAUAUAAAUAUUUGAUCGGACGAGGAUCAAGUUGUGUAUUGGUCACCCACAAGGAAUUUGCAAGUUUUAUAAAUAAAGAUGACUUCUUCGACUUAAAAAUAGACACAAAGGAAACAUUUAAAUUGGCUAUGAACUUUUCUGAAAAAGGAUGGUCUAGUUGCCUAUCUGGUAGUUUAAAUCAAUUAAAAGAAAUGGUAAGUUCUAUGAAUGAAUUGGUUAAUAUGUAUAAAAAUUUUAACUGCACUAUCGUGACCACACAUUCAUUUUAUCUAUACAAAAAUUACAGCCAGAUAUUUGGUAAAGAAUGGAUAGUAUUGGAAACGUUUCCUUUAGAAAUGAUGUCACCACUUAAUAAAACAAGUGGUUGGAUACAACAAUUUAUUGGAAAGUUCUAUAAUUUGGACAUGCCACUGCCAAUUUUAAUAGGUCAAGGUAUUGUGAGAAAACAAAGACCAAUUAUAUCAAUGACUAAUUGCCUACCUUGGAUGGUUUCUAAUUAUAAAAUUAAAAACCCUGUUGGACCGCUGAAUAUGUUAAGUGGUUUCCAACAACCUUUAGGGAUUAAAAUACCAAAUAACAGUGUGUUCAUAAAUUUCGGUAGUUGCACAAACCAAAAUGAUGUUGAGUACAUGUAUGAAUUAGCAAAGGACAUCUGCUCUUUAGGUUAUGAUACCAUAUUAUAUGAUAAGUUGCAUGAAUCACGAGUAUCAAACAGAAUUCUCCAAAUAGUUGAAGAAUGUUCAGGGAAAAUAAUACUACUAAAACAUUUCAAUUGCUCGGAAAUGUAUGGUAAAGUGUUCUUAACAGUUUGUCAUGGCGGGCACGGUACAGUGUUAGAUAGUCUAUUCAAUGAAAUGUUCACAGUUGUGCAACCCAAAAUAUUUGACCAAUUUCAUUGGGCUACAAUACUAGAACAAUUUGGAAUUGGUUGCUCACUAAAUAGAAAUUACACUAAAGAAGACUUAACAUCUAUUAUGGCUUUAGCUAAAGCUAGCAAUCACAGGUUAAAAGAUACAAAAGCUAGCAUGAACAUAAAUAAUUUGGGAUUAAUCAAACAGUUGAACCCACGUAAAGAUUUACACGGUAGAAUAUAUCCAAACGCUCUACGACAAGCAGGAUUGAUACAAAAUAUAGAAUUUAUUGAAGGCAGAUUCAGCACCAAUCUACCUCUUGGUUAUUAUGUAAUAGACGAUAUAGUGGAUGUCGAAUUAAUGAACCCUCCCACUCAAAGCCAUUGCGUAAGAGAGUGCAUUAAAUAUGCCUUCAACAGUCUCACUAUGGAUGCAAUAACGUCAUGUUCCAGUCUCAGUAUAUCCAAUCUUUUUAAACCAGGGGUAACAGAAUCAGAAUUAGAAGAUGGUUUAUUAUCUUUAGGGGUAAAUUAUUGUUUGGUCAAAAGAAAACAAGGUCGUGUGAUGAACUCAAAACCAGGACCGAUUUUGAGCUUAAAAAUAGGAGACGGUGGCAUUUCACAACAUUGUGUGUUGAUCAAGAUAUCAAGUUAUGGCAAGACCGUUUCUUUAAGUGGAAGCCCCGCUGUAAUGCCAAUCAAAGAUAAUGAAUUGAAAGAUCAUAUAUCAAACAGAUUAACUAACAAUACUAGUAUGGAACUAUGCAAUCCUCAUGUGAUGAUGAGUUUAUUACCAAACAAAUGGGUUAAAAAUUUCAUAUCCCGAACUAGAUCCAUAAGAAAGCAUAGUUUGAGUGCCAGGCAACAAUUGCACGUCACAAUUGCGUCUAUGUGCAGAUCUGGGAUCGCAUACAUAGGAGACACCCACCAUAAUGACAAAGCAUUAGGUAUUGGUUAUUGCAGCUGUAAAGAUGGUUGGCAACUUGUGAAUUUUGAAAUAUUCAUGAGUAAAUUGAUUAUAUACACUGACAUUCCAUGUGAAAAUCCGGUGGUAAUUAUCAAUUUACAUCUGGAAUACCCAAAAAGUAUAUCACGUAGAACUAUAAUUGAUGACAAAGAGCGUUGGGUCAGUCUAAACAAACCAACUGUAAACUUCAAUGAAAUAAACAAACCAUUAAUUAGAUCCAAUGAAAUCGUGUCCCCACAUUUAAAUAAGUUUAAUCUAAUAGUAGCUGACUUUGAUAAUCGAACUCAUCACAAUAGUGAUGAUAUUGGGUACCUAAAGAGAGCAAACAAACUGGUCAUUUACAGCACACCAGAAAUUACUUUCAAUGAUAUCUUAGCUUCACAUAAUAAACCUUACAAUAGACUGAUAAUUAAAAUGGGUAACACAAAAUAUUGUCAUGAAUUCAAUUGGGGCAAUAGUGCUAGAUUGUUCCUGUCACUAACUAAUGGUAUCUUAGAAGGAAAUAGUAUUGUCACCGAUGUUAGAUUGUCAAAUGAUGUAAUGAACUAUAUAUUUAAAUAUUACAAAAUAGUGGGUUUGAAAGUACACACUAGAGUCUCUAUUUACGAAGAUCGUCCUGUUAUAAUAUCAGUUUCAGAUUUACUAGAUGAGUUCAGUCGAAAUGAAGAAAUGGAACCCGAUUUAGUAACCCAAUUGACUACUUUAUUAAAAGAAGAAGACACUGUGAAAUUGUCUUGGCUAACAAAAACAAAUUGCAAACUAAAUGACAGUAACGAUGUCAUUUGCAUAUCAGAUGACACAUUAAGCAUACCUUGUUGUGAGAUGAUAAUAACAAAGAGUGUUAAAGGAGGUGCAAAUUCUGAUGACAGAAUUGGGUGGAAAUUAGAAGAUAAAGAUCAAUCUUUCAAAAGCGACGAUAAGUGGAAUGUCAAACCAUCUCUUGAAAAGAAGAACAUUCAAUCCAGUUGUAAAGACGUCAUAGCAUUAAAUGAUAUGAAAAUAAAUGACGUUCAAGAUUCUCCAUCAAUUAAAAAUGUAAAAUACUACUCAAACUACGAACCAAGUUUAGAUAUUUACAUUGCACCUUACACUAUGAAUUAUACUACAAGCGUGAUAGAGCCAUUGUUUGAUAUGCCUGAUAUAACAUCUAUGCAAUUAUGGACUGACACAGAUUUGACGGAUUGGCUCAAUAUGUAUGCUCCAUCCAAUAAAACUGUAAUCAAGAGUCGUGAAUUACCCGGUAAAAUUAUCAACAUGGAGAAAAUAACAAUGACAAAAUAUCCAAUUAAGUCUAGACCUGUCUUAACAAAAAUAUGUUUUGAGGAAGGACGUUCCAUUACUGGUAGAUUGUUUUCCGUGGUUAACCUUCGCACAGUUACACCUGAUCCUGAGAAAAUACUUUGGGAUGUCUGCAAUGCAUACUUUAAACCCGGAUGGGAGCACAAUAUACCACAUUUUAAAAAUGAUUUAUUAAUCAUAACUCCAGAAGAUGUUAAAAAUUGGAUUGAAGAAAAUAAAGAUUGUUUUGGUGUUGAAAAAGAGCUAAAUGAUUUACUAGCAGGCGAAUUAUUAAUCAAACCAUUGAAUGAUGUUAAUGUGCAUUUGAAAUUGGAGUCUUUACUAAAGGACAAGCAUAUCUCCAUUAUGAAGGAACAGCAAGCUAGAAUAAUAGUAUGGCAAAGGAAAGCAGUUUGUAGUUUAUUUGCCAAAUUGUUUGUAAGAUGCAAAGACAGACUGAAAACUUUACUUGUGGAUCAUAUACUUUACGUAGAUGGAUUGAGACCAGAUGAAAUAUCAGCCAAAUUAAGACAAAUAUCUGAUGUAUUUGGAUUUUUUGAAAACGACCUGACUAAGCAAGAUAGACAAACUGACAAACCCAUUUUAGAAGUGGAAAUGUUGAUGUAUCUUAUGUUGGGCGUUCAUCCUAACAUCAUAUCUAGUUGGCGUUCAAGUCAUGAUGAUUGGAGAUUCAAAUCUACAAAUUAUUGGGGUAAGAGCACGGCAAUGAGAUUAACGGGACAAGCUACAACCGCACUAGGAAAUUGUAUCACUAAUAUGCAAGUACACUCAAAAUUUGUAAUCAAAAAUAAAUAUUGGUUAAAGUUUGCUUUAUUUCUUGGGGAUGAUAUGUGUAUGGGUUUCUCACACAAGCCAAACACACAGCACUUACGCCAGGAUAUAGCUUGUAAAUUUAAUAUGCAAAGUAAAGAUUCUUGGAUGACCAAUGGAGCAACAUUCUGUAGCAUGGUAGUUUACAAAACGAAUGAUAAUGUAGUAGAAUUGGGCCCAGAUGUAGUCAGGAUGAAAUUUAGGUAUGAAGUCACCAAUGGUGUACACGAAGCAACUAAAGAGAACUUAAUGAUGCGCAAGGCAUCUUACUUGAUGAUGUUAGGGAAAACACCUGAAGUUGAUAAAUUAGUAAAUGAUCUCCAAUUACCCAUCAAUCCCGUACACUGGUACAAUUAUCACACGAUGUUACAGGGCGUUGCUGACAAAUGGGACAUGAACAUACAACAAGUUGAGGGGUAUUAUCAUAACUUGAUCUACAUGAUAUCUAAAGACGACAUUUAUCAACAUAACUUUAGAGGAUUCGGUAAUAGAUGAAUAUUAUAACUAACUCUGUUUUGUCAAUUUAUUUUUAAAAGGAUGGGGCACCCCUCCCAAACCCCGG